GGGCGGAUGGUUUAGUGGUAUAAUUUUCCCUUAGCAUAGUGCGACCUUCGAGUUGCCUAAACGCAUGGGAAAGGUCCGGGGUUCGAUUCCCCGUUCGUCCA
rnacentral:tRNA from 1 species